rnacentral:piRNA from 1 species
UCNGAAUAGGUGCUUUAUUCUCUUCAGUCU